GCCAAAUGUGACAGCCACGUGUUCUUCCCACGUGGUAGACAAAAGAAUUAACCAACGCUCGAAUUAUAAUAAUGGUAAGCGAGUUGAACAGAUAUUUCUCUACACGGUUAAAUGGAAAGUUAAAUGAUGAGCAUAUUCUGAUAUAAAAAAGCUCAGAGAAGAACGAAAAGUUACAUUAGCGGACGUCGAUUGUCAGGAAGUACACUCUACCGGCAGGAAUGCCUGGACAUAAUACAUAUACAUAUUGUACAUUAUUUGUUUCACGAUGCUGAACUACACGUUCGUCCCGUUCUUGCUGUCGGCGCUCAACGCAAACAUCUCAGAAAGCAAUUUCAGUGCGGAAUAUUUGUUCGAUUUCAAUCAAACUACUGUAGUACACAGAGACCCUCUCCAAACUACACAAUUAACUGCUGCA